ACAUAAAGUUCUUUUAAAAUCUGGACAAAAGUUCCUGGAAAAGUAAUCUAUUGCUAUACUUUUAUUAUGAAAGCCUAAUUAGUGCAAAAGUUAGUUCCCUGCUGGAUCUAUACAUGCCACUGUAUGCCUUUUUCCUCUACUGGUCUGUAGUUCUCAGGCUGCAAUCAGGCCCCUACUCCUUCAGCUAAAAAUAAACCCAGAGAGAUCUUUUGUACACAGAGGAGAGAGACUUCCUCAAGAAGAACUUUAUAUCAAUUGCUCAGGAUCUCAUCCUCUAGAGACUGGUGUGGUGGAUGACAGCAACACGAGCAGAGGUUUAUGAUGGCUCUUGCAGUACCU